GGGGGGAACGAAAAUCUAUUUGGGAAAUUUUGAUCGGGAUUUGGGGUUUUUUAGGUUUUAAACUGAAUUGGGAAUUGAUUUGGGGUUAGAAAUCGGUUCAAUAAUCGAUUAACAGGGUAUAAGUUUUAGGGUUUAGGGUGGUUUAUUUUGUUUAGGGAGAAAAGAAGACGAACCGGAAGUUUUUGAUUGUCAGAGACAAUGGGCAGUAGAAGGGAAGCUACCAGUGCUGUUACAUCCACUUUAACGGGUAAGUUCUUGCAUUUAGUUUUAAAUUUUUUGGAUUUCAAUGCUGUUAUUCCGAUUUAGGGUUAAU
rnacentral:lncRNA from 1 species